GUCUUGAUGCUGCAUCAUAAUCGGGAAGAGUACAUCCCACAGGAAGAGAGCAAGAGGAAGCUGAGGAAGCCAAACCAGCUUUGUAAGAACCCACUCCCUCCAUCACUUACCUAUUCCCAUGAUAACUAACCCACCCAGGCCAUCAUUAACCUGCCCCGCUAGAACCAACCCACUCCCAGGACAAUGGCCUCAAACCAUUUAUGAAGAUGGAGUCCUCAUGACCUCAUCAUCACCUAAAGGUGUCACAAUGGCAGAUAAAUUUCACCGUGAGCUUUGGGGACAACUUUCACCCCCCAGCAGGAUUGAGGGCCAGAUGGGAUCCUCUCCGGCCAUGCACGCAGGAGCCACAUCAGGAGGAUCUGCCCAAAUUCAAGAUCUUCGCUGGAUCUCUUUUUAUGCCUGAGAAACACUGUGGGUCAGAAGCAGCUGAGUGUCAAAUAGAGAGCCGGUUUUAUCCCAAAGGUGGAAGGAAGAAGUUGAAACCCCAUCAGCCAGACUGACAACUUGAGAGAGAAACUACUGAGAUCAAAACAGCACUUGAAUAGUUAUGUUGAAUGGGGGUGACUCUGAAAUUCCCUGUGAUUUUUGAAUCAGAAGCAUCAGAAAUAAUACAAAUAGAGGAACAUUUUCUGCUUUAAGAUAACUCAGUGGUAAGAGGGAUGCCAACAGAUAAGCCAGUUAUAUCUAGAAUUAUAAACCAUCAUUUUGUAAUACACGAAGGUUCCUCAUGUGGUGUUAAAUACAAAUUUGGGGAUAAAUGAGCACGUGUUGAUACAGUUACUAAGUUCUCUUGGUGUCCACAUAAUCAUGAAGGUGAUAAGCAUGACUUUAUAUUUCAGAGUCCAUUUUUAAUUACCUCCUUUGCCAUUGGUGACCUCUUUCCUGCUUAGAUAUAUGCUUAGCCUCCCACCUUCUGUUUUCCCCAUCCUUUCCACCACAACCUAUUCAGUGAACAAUGUGUUACUCUUUUCUUCGGGUAUGUUUACAAUGCCAUUUGCUGCACGGUUAUCUCAGUGAAGUGAACAAUUUUCUCCCCACGGGAGUAGCAAGGGAAGAGCUCUUGCACUGAGUCACCCUGGCCUAGGUUAGAAGAGGGAUUAGUAUUUGUGAGGAGUCUAAAAAUUGUAAAGCAAACUGAAGACCAAUCACAUGUAGGCAAUUUUAAGCAGGAUCAGUG
rnacentral:lncRNA from 1 species